UGACGCACUUCCUGAUGG
rnacentral:misc_RNA from 1 species